rfam:Schistosoma margrebowiei strain Zambia genome assembly, scaffold: SMRZ_scaffold0000002
ACCCAACUGACGAGUCCUAAAUAGGAUGAAACUUGCGUGCUGGAU